GUGGUAGACUUUGCUUUGUUGCAUUAAUUCUCAGUUUAAUGUGACUUUAGUCUGCCACACAAAUAAAAUGGUUCCUGCCGACAGGGCCUGUAUAGAAAUUGGGCUUCCUGUGCGAUGGCUCCAUACAUA